UGGGCGUUAAGUUGCAGGGUAUAGACCCGAAACCCGGUGAUCUAGCCAUGGGCAGGUUGAAGGUUGGGUAACACUAACUGGAGGACCGAACCGACUAAUGUUGAAAAAUUAGCGGAUGACCUGUGGCUGGGGGUGAAAGGCCAAUCAAACCGGGAGAUAGCUGGUUCUCCCCGAAAGCUAUUUAGGUAGCGCCUCGUGAAUUCAUCUCCGGGGGUAGAGCACUGUUUCGGCUAGGGGGCCAUCCCGGCUUACCAACCCGAUGCAAACUGCGAAUACCGGAGAAUGUUAUCACGGGAGACACACGGCGGGUG
rnacentral:rRNA from 1 species